CUACGGGGUGCUGCAGUGAGGAAUUUUGCGCAAUGGGCGAAAGCCUGACGCAGCAACGCCGCGUGAGUGAUGAAGGCCUUCGGGUCGUAAAGCUCUGUCAAGUGGGAAGAACCUAUGUAAUGUUAAUAUCAUUAUAUACUGACGGUACCACUGAAGGAAGCACCGGCUAACUCCGUGCCGGCAGCCGCGGUAAUACGGGGGGCGCAAGCGUUAUUCGGAAUCAUUGGGCGUAAAGGGCACGUAGGCGGCCUGGUAAGUCAGAUGUGAAAGCCCGGGGCUUAACCCCGGAAGUGCAUUUGGUACUGUGAGGCUUGAGGAUGGGAGAGGGAAGUGGAAGUCCUGGUGUAGAGGUGAAAUUCGUAGAUAUCAGGAGGAACACCGGUGGCGAAGGCGACUUCCUGGACCAAUACUGACGCUGAGGUGCGAAGGCGUGGGUAGCAAACAGGAUUAGAUACCCGAGUAGUC
rnacentral:rRNA from 1 species